rnacentral:rRNA from 1 species
GGGUGCGAUCAUACCAUCAUCAAUGCACCGUAUAUUAGAACUCCGCAGUUAAGCGUGCUUGGGCUAGAGUAGUACUGGGAUGGGUGACCUCUCGGGAAGUCCUAGUGUUGCACCCU